UACGAAGGGGGCUAGCGUUGUUCGGAAUCACUGGGCGUAAAGCGCGCGUAGGCGGCUUGACAAGUCAGGGGUGAAAUCCCACAGCUUAACUGUGGAACUGCCUUUGAUACUGUCUGGCUAGAAGGCAAUAGGGGAUAGCGGAAUUCCUGGUGUAGAGGUGAAAUUCGUAGAUACCAGGAGGAACACCGGUGGCGAAGGCGGCUAUCUGGAUUGCACUUGACGCUCUG
rnacentral:rRNA from 1 species